rnacentral:rRNA from 1 species
ACUCCUGCGGGAGGCAGCAGUGGGGAAUUUUGGACAAUGGGCGAAAGCCUGAUCCAGCAAUGCCGCGUGAGUGAAGAAGGCCUUCGGGUUGUAAAGCUCUUUUGUCAGGGAAGAAACGGUGAGAGCUAAUAUCUUUUGCUAAUGACGGUACCUGAAGAAUAAGCACCGGCUAACUACGUGCCAGCAGCCGCGGUAAUACGUAGGGUGCAAGCGUUAAUCGGAAUUACUGGGCGUAAAGCGUGCGCAGGCGGUUUUGUAAGUCUGAUGUGAAAUCCCCGGGCUCAACCUGGGAAUUGCAUUGGAGACUGCAAGGCUAGAAUCUGGCAGAGGGGGGUAGAAUUCCACGUGUAGCAGUGAAAUGCGUAGAUAUGUGGAGGAACACCGAUGGCGAAGGCAGCCCCCUGGGUCAAGAUUGACGCUCAUGCACGAAAGCGUGGGGAGCAAACAGGAUUAGAUACCCCGGUAGUCCCAUG